rnacentral:rRNA from 1 species
GAGUGAACGGGGAAAAGCUCAAAUUUUAAAUCUGGCUAGGUUUUACUUAUCGGAAUUGUAAUUUGAAGAAGCGUUUUCGCGUCUCGGUUGGCCCAAAUCCUUUGGGAUAAGGUAUCAUGGAGGGUGAGAAUCCCGUUCGGUUGACCUUAUGACGCUCCACGAUACGCUCUCUAAGAGUCGAGUUGUUUGGGACUGCAGCUCAAAAUGGGAGGUAAAUUUCUCCUAAGGCUAAAUAUUGGCGGGAGACCGAUAGCGAACAAGUACCGUGAGGGAAAGAUGAAAAGAACUUUGAAAAGAGAGUUAAACAGUACGUGAAAUUGUUGAAAGGGAAACGAUUGAAGUCAGUCGUACCAACGGGAAAUCAAUUCAUCGAGUGUUAAAUUUGGGUUUCGAAGAGUUGUUAAAACCUUCGGGUUUCAGAUAUUUUCACUUUUUGAACGUAUUUUCUCGUACGGUAGGUUAACAUCGAUUUUGAACAUUAUAAAAUGAUCGGAGGAAUGUAGCUUCGAUCUCGUAUCGAAGUGUUAUAGCCUUUGGUAGAUGUAAUGAUCGAGAUCGAGGAUUGCAACGAAUACCCUUUUGGGCUAUCCGUCUGGUCUCUGAUACGUUGCCUCAGUAACGAAAGCGUGCUUACGGUAUUGAGGUAUAACGGUCAAAAGGUUAGAACGUGAUUACAUUCGUUA